rnacentral:rRNA from 1 species
AGAGUUUGAUCAUGGCUCAGAUUGAACGCUGGCGGCAGGCCUAACACAUGCAAGUCGAGCGGUAGCACAGAGAGCUUGCUCUCGGGUGACGAGCGGCGGACGGGUGAGUAAUGUCUGGGAAACUGCCUGAUGGAGGGGGAUAACUACUGGAAACGGUGGCUAAUACCGCAUAAUGUCGCAAGACCAAAGUGGGGGACCUUCGGGCCUCAUGCCAUCAGAUGUGCCCAGAUGGGAUUAGCUAGUAGGUGGGGUAACGGCUCACCUAGGCGACGAUCCCUAGCUGGUCUGAGAGGAUGACCAGCCACACUGGAACUGAGACACGGUCCAGACUCCUACGGGAGGCAGCAGUGGGGAAUAUUGCACAAUGGGCGCAAGCCUGAUGCAGCCAUGCCGCGUGUGUGAAGAAGGCCUUCGGGUUGUAAAGCACUUUCAGCGGGGAGGAAGGCGAUAAGGUUAAUAACCUUGUCGAUUGACGUUACCCGCAGAAGAAGCACCGGCUAACUCCGUGCCAGCAGCCGCGGUAAUACGGAGGGUGCAAGCGUUAAUCGGAAUUACUGGGCGUAAAGCGCACGCAGGCGGUCUGUCAAGUCGGAUGUGAAAUCCCCGGGCUCAACCUGGGAACUGCAUUCGAAACUGGCAGGCUAGAGUCUUGUAGAGGGGGGUAGAAUUCCAGGUGUAGCGGUGAAAUGCGUAGAGAUCUGGAGGAAUACCGGUGGCGAAGGCGGCCCCCUGGACAAAGACUGACGCUCAGGUGCGAAAGCGUGGGGAGCAAACAGGAUUAGAUACCCUGGUAGUCCACGCCGUAAACGAUGUCGAUUUGGAGGUUGUGCCCUUGAGGCGUGGCUUCCGGAGCUAACGCGUUAAAUCGACCGCCUGGGGAGUACGGCCGCAAGGUUAAAACUCAAAUGAAUUGACGGGGGCCCGCACAAGCGGUGGAGCAUGUGGUUUAAUUCGAUGCAACGCGAAGAACCUUACCUGGUCUUGACAUCCACAGAACUUAGCAGAGAUGCUUUGGUGCCUUCGGGAACUGUGAGACAGGUGCUGCAUGGCUGUCGUCAGCUCGUGUUGUGAAAUGUUGGGUUAAGUCCCGCAACGAGCGCAACCCUUAUCCUUUGUUGCCAGCGGUUAGGCCGGGAACUCAAAGGAGACUGCCAGUGAUAAACUGGAGGAAGGUGGGGAUGACGUCAAGUCAUCAUGGCCCUUACGACCAGGGCUACACACGUGCUACAAUGGCAUAUACAAAGAGAAGCGACCUCGCGAGAGCAAGCGGACCUCAUAAAGUAUGUCGUAGUCCGGAUUGGAGUCUGCAACUCGACUCCAUGAAGUCGGAAUCGCUAGUAAUCGUAGAUCAGAAUGCUACGGUGAAUACGUUCCCGGGCCUUGUACACACCGCCCGUCACACCAUGGGAGUGGGUUGCAAAAGAAGUAGGUAGCUUAACCUUCGGGAGGGCGCUUACCACUUUGUGAUUCAUGACUGGGGUGAAGUCGUAACAAGGUAACCGUAGGGGAACCUGCGGUUGGAUCACCU